AGUCCUGAAGCCUCUCAUAAGGUGGGCCAAGAAGUCAGUGGGACUCUGGCAGGCAUCUGUCCCCAUGGGGUGACUUUGUGCUCAUCACACAGCUCCAGAGGGCUCUGCUGGGAUCUCCUGGGCUUUUCCUUGCUGAUGAAGAGCUGGAAGAAAGCACUUUAAAAGCAGAUGUAGGAGCAGCCUCCAUUGUGGUGCUCACCAGCAUCAUCAUCACCUUCCUCAGCAUCCCCAGGUGAGCCUUGACAGCAGAAAAAGGGGCAGAGACAACCAGGAGAAAGAGCUCCCAUAGUUGGAGGAACAGCCAGGACCUCUCCAGCUCGGGUCAUUCUGUAAAAGAAGCAAUGCUCCUGCCUAGGGUGACUUUCUUAGAGGAGGAGCUGGGCUGCUCCAUGCCAGCAAAGCUUUGCAGAGCUGUGAGACCCAGGAGAGCAUCAUCUGCCCAGCUUCCCUGGUGCCAGAUGGGACCCCCCACAUCCUAAUUCCAAACUGCUGUGGGAAGAGCAUGGACCUGGGAUGGAAGAUGAGGCUGCAGGAUGCACAGAGCCAUCAUUUGCUCUGAGGACAGGGAUUCUGGAGGGAAACAUUCAUAUUCUGGGCCACCACGUUUCCCUCCAUCUGUUGCUCCAAGGAGAAGGACUCCAAAAUAAAUUCCAAAAUCCCUGGUGAGGGAGAAAACUCUGGAUGCUAUUUCUAUGGCAGGCUGUUCCAGGCUUCCUCACAUCAUCUUUCU